rnacentral:misc_RNA from 1 species
CAAAAUUGGUCGCACACACAAUCUUCAAUUGCACACCAAAUGACGCGUCAAUAUCACGUUUGAUAGACUGCUCUUUUUCCCGACGUAACGGUUCGUCCCGCUCCUUCCAUUUCCCUCCCUCAAUUCAUCAAAUUCAAGCGUUACUUUGUGCCUUAACCUUUUCUCUUGCUCUAGAGCUUUACUUCAAACAUCAAAACUCAAUUCCAUAUACACACUGUACAUACCAUUUCAAAACUCACUCCAUCACCCAACACCCAUCAUUCCCACCUCCGGUGGCCGCAUUUCCUAGUACUUUCCCCGUCGCGAUGUAUAACAAUCAGAACGAUCGCAUCGCCAGCGUUGAAACAACUUGCGGAUUCUUGCUAGUGGAAUUGCAGAACAUGUGGGACGAAGUGGGAGAGAAUGACGUUCGAAGGGAUAAAGUGUUGUUCGAAAUUGAAGAAGAGUGCCUGGAGGUGUAUAGGAGAAAAGUUAAUGAGGCUGACAAAUGUAGAUCUGAAUUGCAACGUGAAAUUGCUUUCGUUGAAGCGGAAAUUGAGGGUAUCUGCUCUGCAUUGGGUGAGCAACCAGUAAAAUAUAAGCAGAAGGCGAGUGCAAAGUUAAAAGAAGAGCUUCACAUCAUUUUUCCAGUGUUGGAGGAAUUGCGGAAGAGAAAAGCACAGAGGAAAAAGCAAUUCCUUGAAGUUCUAGAUGAACUAAAGAACAUUUCAAAAGAGAUUUUCGGUUCUACUACAGAAGAUAAUCUGUACGAGAAGGUUUUGGACGAGGACGACUUGUCCCUCAGAAGACUAGAAGAGUUGCAGAAUCACUUACGCGAGCUUCAGAAUGAGAUGAGCAAUCGUUUGAAGCAAGUACUGUGUCUUUUGGACACUCUGAGCUCCCUCUGUGGGGUUCUUGGUGUGGAUUUCAAACACACAAUACAUGAGAUCCAUCCAACUUUGGAUGAUUCUGAAGGAUUGAAAGACAUGACCAACGAUACAAUUGAGAGGUUGACUUCUGCAAUGCGAGGUUUCCGAGAUUUGAAGAUACAGAGAAUGCAGAGGCUUCAAGGUCUUGGAACUGCCCUUCUGGAGCUUUGGGAUUUGAUGGACACUCCAAUUGAGGAGCAACAAAUGUUUCAGAACGUUACCAGUUUUAUUGCUGCUUCAGAACCCCAAGCUGCGGAGCCUAAUAUGCUUUCCACGGACUUCAUUAACCAUGUUGAGGACGAAGUCUCAAGGCUCAAGCAGCUCAAAUCAAGUAAAGUUAAAGAGAUUAUUCUAAAGAAGAGGCUGGAACUAGAAGAGUUAUGCAGGAACGCACACAUGGUAACAGAAUCACUUACUGCAGCAGAAUAUUCGAUUGAGGCUGUAACAUCUGGUAAGAGUUUGAGGAAAUGUACAAUCUAGAACUACAAGUAUCCUGAGAAUAUUAUCCAUGGCGACCUCUGAAUUUUUUGAAAAACCAGUGUCGAUCAAUGAUGUUCCUGAAGGCCUAAAAGUGCUUUGAUGCCAAAAAAAAAAAUGAUACAUUUGAUAUCAUUUGGUACAUUUGGUGCAUGCAAAUUCUGGUUCCUGAUGCGUAAUGUUUUACUUUUGACACAAUUUCAGUUAAAUUGACAAGUCUGGGAAAAAAAAAAAUUAUGUAUCAUUGGUAACCAUACAAAUGCCCGAUUGUUAUGUACUAUGUUUUUACAGGAGUGGAUCCUGUGCAUCUACUAGAAGAGAUUGAAUUUGAAAUUGUAAAGGUUAAAGAAGAAGCUUAUAGGAGGAAGGAAAUACUCAACAAGGUGGAGAAAUGGUUUGCUGCAUGUGAAGAAGA